rnacentral:misc_RNA from 1 species
CCCCCCCACCCUCGCCCCGAAAGGGUUGCGGGYAGAGCGGGGGGGCGGAAGUUGGCUUCCCGUGCUCCGCGCGGCCAGCCUAAAAAACGGUUCCCUCGYCGCGGACGUCGCGACAAGUGGUGGUCGUCGAGAUUGAACGCGAGUCGUCGGCAAGCCGCGUCGAGGAGAGCGCUUGGACCCUGUGCAUGCGAGUCCCUCGUCGAGGGACGAUCGGCACGACCAGCGACCCCAGGUCGAGGGACAAUCGGCACGACCAGCGACCCCAGGUCAGGCGGGGCUACCCGCUGAGUU